rnacentral:rRNA from 1 species
UACGAAGGGGGCUAGCGUUGUUCGGAAUUACUGGGCGUAAAGCGCGCGUAGGCGGCUUGUCAAGUCAGAGGUGAAAGCCUGGAGCUUAACUCCAGAACUGCCUUUGAAACUGUCGAGCUAGAACAUAGGAGAGGUGAGUGGAAUUCCGAGUGUAGAGGUGAAAUUCGUAGAUAUUCGGAAGAACACCAGUGGCGAAGGCGACUCACUGGACUAUUGUUGACGCUGAGGUGCGAAAGCGUGGGGAGCAAACAGG